CUUGGUCAUUUAGAGGAAGUAAAAGUCGUAACAAGGUCUCCGUAGGUGAACCUGCGGAGGGAUCAUUACAGAGUUCUCGCCCUCACGGGUAGAUCUCCCACCCACUGUUAUCAUUACUGUCGUUUCUUUGGCGGGCCGCCGGGCCCCCGGCCGCCGGCGCCUAGCUGCCGGCGCGCGCCCGCCAGAGGCCUUCAAACUCUGAAUGUUAGUGUCGUCUGAGUACUAUAUAAUAGUUAAAACUUUCAACAACGGAUCUCUUGGUUCUGGCAUCGAUGAAGAACGCAGCGAAAUGCGAUAAGUAAUGCGAAUUGCAGAAUUCAGUGAGUCAUCGAAUCUUUGAACGCACAUUGCGCCCUGUGGUAUUCCGCAGGGCAUGCCUGUUCGAGCGUCAUUUCAACCCUCAAGCUCUGCUUGGUGUUGGGCCCCGCCCCUGCGGCCGGCCCUAAAGUCAGUGGCGGCGCCGUCUGGCUCUAAGCGUAGUACAUCUCUCGCUCUAGGGUCCUGCGGUAGCUUGCCAGAACCCCAACUUCUAUGGUUGACCUCGGAUCAGGUAGGGAUACCCGCUGAACUUAAGCAUAUCAAUAAGCGGAGGA
rnacentral:rRNA from 1 species